rnacentral:lncRNA from 1 species
AGCCUCCGGGAUCUGCAAGUCUGGAAAGGCCACGUUGUGGACCUUGGCGCAGAGGUUAUGGGGGCGACCCGGAGCGGAUGGUUUCAGGAAAACUAGAACCCACCCUCAUGGCCUGAACAACUGGAGAGAAGAGGAUCGCAGCAAUUUAAAGCCAGCGGCAAGGAUCACAGUCCUGGGGUCAGGUGACCAAAGCCAGUUUUUCAGCCCUUAACAAGAACCUGGCUUCACCCAGCCAAACAUGAGUUAACGUAUCCAUUUUACACACGAACAAACUGAGGCGCAGAGAUGAUCACAGCUUGUUGGUGGCAAACUCCGCUAGGGCCUUCUCUGCUACCCUAAGGAGGUCCGACCGUAUGUUUUGGACCCCUUAACUCGGGAUACCGAUAAACGAAAAUUAAUAGGGUGUUGGAUGUUUUAAAUGUGUGCGGGAAUGUCAUUAUAUUGGCUAGAAUCAAACCUUAUUUAGACUUGUUUUGCACUUUUGUACACUUUAGUAAUUUUUAGUUUUAAUCAUAAGGGAGUUAAAGGCGAACACAACUGGUAUUUUUUUUUUUUUUUUUUUUUUUUUGAGACAGGGUCUCGCUCGGUCACCCAGGCUGGAGUGUAAUGCUGCGAUCUCGGCUCACUGCAACGUCCGCCUCCCGGGUUCAAGAGAUUCUCCUGCCUCAGCCUCCCGAAUAGCUGGGCGUGCCACCACGCCCGGCUGAUUUUUGUAUUUUUAGUAGAGACGGGGUUUCACCAUGUUGGCCAGGUUGGUCUCGAACUCCUGACCUCAAAUGAUCCGCCCGCCUUGGCCUCCCAGAAUGCUGGGAUUACAGGCGUGAGCCACCGCGCCAGGCCGACAACUGGUAUCUUAAGGCUUAGGGCCUCUGGUAGAAGUGAGCUCCACCUCCCUUCCUGUGUAGAAGGUAAAUGCAUUCAUUCAUUCAGUGAAUCGAGCAUGCAUGAAAUCGUUUGCGCACACCCAGAAGCCCACCUGCGAGCCACAGGAGCAGCCAUUCCAGGAAGCCAAGCUAUAAUGGGAGACGCAAGGAAUGGAGGCGGAACUCCUGUUUUUAAGUCCUAGCUCCAACACUAGCCUUGUCAGCCUGUAAUUCUGAAUUACUGGGCGCCUCUGAGGCUUCUUGUCUCAUCUGCAAAUCAGGAACAACGGCAUAGAGUGGUGAAUGCAUCAAGUGGGAUGAUGUCUGCAAGAAUCACCUGGCGGUCUUGUGAAACUGCAGCUUCUAAUGGGCAAGUCAGAGGGGAAGCCUGAGACAUGGCAUUUCCAGCACGUUCGGGGAGUGAAGAUGCUGUCGGCUGCCACCCUCCCUGCAAGGAGCCAGGGGAUAGAUGACCUCUACGCAAACUGUGAGAGCUUAAAAUAACUGAUAGUGAAAAACAGUUACAGAAGCUCUAGGCCGGGCACGGUGGCUAAUGCCUGUAAUCCCAGCACUUUGGGAGGCCGAGGAGGAUGGAUUGCCAGAACUCAGGAGUUUGAGACCAGCCUGGGCAACACGGUAAAACCCUGUCUCUACGACAAAAUAAAACAAACAAAAAUAAAAGCCACGCAUGGUGGCGUGUGCUUGUAGUCCCAGCUACUCAGGAGGCUCAGGUGGGACAAUCGCUUGAGCAUGGAAGGAGGAGGUUGCAGUGAGCCAAGAUCGCACCACUGUACUCCAACCUGAGUGACAGAGUGAGACCCAAUCUCAAAAAAAAAAAAAAGCAGUAAAUCCAGGGCCCAAAAGCUCCCCUCAAUGGGAAGUAGAAUCUCUUUCUCCACCUCUUCAAUAUGGCUGGCCCUGGAACUUCCCUUGGCACACAGAAUGCAGCAGAAUUGGCUUCAUGUUGUUUCUAAGCCUUGGCCUCAGAGGCCUUGCAUGCUUCCUAACCCUGGCUCUAGGAAACUUGCUGCUGUCAUGUAAGCAAGCCCAGGCUAACCUACUGAAUGUUGGUGUGUCCCAGUCAAAUCCAGCACUGCAACCAAUAGCCAGGCAGCCACCAGACAUGUGAGUGGGGCCACCUCACACCAGCCAACCUCCACCAAGUCAUCAGAUGUAUGAGUGAGAACAGCCCAGAACAACUGAGCCCGUCCAGACCAGCGGAACAACCAAGCUGACCAGUAGACUUAGGAGCAGUAAACAGAUGAUUGUUAUGGAAGCCAUUCUGUUUAGGGUGUGUGUGUUAUUGCUUGCAUCCAAAUACAUCCUAUCUCAUCUAAUGAGAAAAGGCCCUGCUCAAGGGCUUUUGCAGCUGUAGUUGGGCGCCGGAAGUGUCUUUGUGGUCAUUUCUUACUCCAUACACGGGGAGAUCAAGGCUCAGACCAGGUAGUGUGACUGUGGACAACACUUUCCUUACCCCUCUGUGACACUUAAAUCAAUGAAGCAGAUUCACAGAAGCAUGCAUGCUCACUGAACACAGUAUUUGCAUUCCUACCUCCAAACCUUUGCUCCACCCAUGCAUCCAGUAAGAAUGCCUACUUCCCUCCUCUCCUCCAUCGAGUUCUUUCUUUGAGUUCUACCUUCCCUAGUCUUCCUCCACUGCACCAACCCACGGUGAUCCCUGUCUCUUCCAAAUGCUUUGUAACAUGGUAGGCAUCACUCACUUGUGACUCAUUGGACCAUUUUAAAACUUGGUUUUCUGUGUCUCUUUUCCAACAAAAUUACAAAUUCUUUGAGGGUAAAAGUCAGGCCUAAUAGUUCUCUGUACUCCUAGUAGUGCCAGUGUGGUAAAAAUUUAACUUGACAAUUAGCAAAACCAAUAAAUUCCUUACACUAUUCUGUUCCUGUAGGUAAUCAGUAUAUGAAUAUGGAUUCCUAUGUGAUGAUUUUCUGGUCUAUUUUGUCCCUUUUUUUUUUUUGUUACUUUAACCAGGCCAUAACAUAAAGGUUAUGCCAUUUGUUACUGUCAAGCUUAAUUAAGCCCAUUAUAAUUCGUUAACCCCUGUGCUUGCUUUGUAAUUAACAUUGAUUAACACAAACAAGUACAAAAUAGGCCAUCAGCACUUUCCAGAAGUGCUGAUUACAAUUACAUUGGUAAUUCAAUACGGUAUAGAAGAUGGCAGGAUAGUAACUUGCACUCUGUUUACAUAAGGAGACAAAUGCUACCAUGCAAAACUAAGCCAAGAAACAAAAUACUUUCCUCAUCCAACUCACUGAUUAAACCCUUACCCUGUUAACUCACCCUAUGACUGUGUAAACCUCCAGUAAGAUUAUUGAAGGCACAGCUCCAAGUAACUUGCUUAAUUGCAUUCCUGGGACAAAAGAGGGAAGCGCUUCAAAGCUGACAGACAGAUGGUAGAGUGUCCAGUCACAGCAAAGCAGGCCCCGAGGCUCAUGACAGACAACUCCAGGGCUGAGAUCUCAUUUGUAGCUCUGGGAUAAAGUCCAGGGUUUGAUGGCAGCAGGCUGAAGUGUAAAGAUGCUCAACAAUGCGCACCCCAGAGACACUGAAUCUGAAAAAGCUUAGAGUGAAUAAAAAUCUGGAAAUGAACUCUGUCUGUCUAUUCACCAUUCCCCCCAUAAAAAAAUUCCUAUAUUCCGGAUGGUGUUCAAGUUCCCUUUCCACAGGACCUCAGCAGUCAGGGAGGUGCUCCUGCAAUCUAUGUGAAGGAGAUUUCACCAUGCCCACAUGGGAAUACAGUAGAUUGCCAGUAGGGAUGCCACACCUUUGCAUUUCCUCGUAUUUCCAGGAACAAAGCUGGGGUGCCUAGGAGCUGCAGCAGUUUUUCUUCUGUGUAAAAUAAGCAAGCAGGACUCUGCCCCACUGCACUCCAGGGAAGGAUUAAGAGAAUUGAUAUCAUCCAAAUCAAUUGGCCCUGUGCAGAUGACUUGAUAAUGAGGCCAUUGAGUUUUUAUGGUUCACUAUUAUUGCUACAAAAAUUAUGCUGCAGAAAUCAUUCAAAUGCUCAAAAAGGAGCAUUAGUACGAAACUGGGUGUUCCAAAGUUGUUGCUGAGAGGUGUGUAAUGUUCCUGAAGAUCCCCAAGGCACUAAGACUUCUCUGUACAUGAAUGACUCAUAGAGAAGAAAUACACCAGAUGAAAAUAUAUGGAGAAGUUUGCCGAAUGUCAUAUAACUUGUAAGUAUUAGAGCCGAGGUCUGAACCCUGAUAUCUGUGUCCUUAUAGCUCAGGCCUUUUCCUUCAGCCCCUCCUUCUCAGCAGAGAUGUGUUGGAGAAAUCACUAGAAAUGGAAGAGCAGCUGUCAGAAGCAGAAUUGAAUGAAGUGAUAGGGGAAAAACAUACAUGUUGAUACAAAUGGUCAGCCUUAAGCAAGACUGUGACAUUGAUGCAGCACAGGGAAGCCUCAAAAUUGGGACUUAGCCCAGGAGGGUUCUUGGCUUCACCCAGGAAAGAAUUCAAGGGUGAGCUGGUGGUGUUAGAAUGCAACUAUUACUGAAGUGGCAGUGUACGGCAGUAGCAGAGGCACUGCUUGCGGAGCAGGGAUACCCCAGAGGCACUGUGCCCAGAGUAGCAGCUCAGAGGCAGUUCUGCACUCAUAUUUAUAUCCACUUUUAAUUAUAUGCAAAUUAAGGGGUGGUUUAUGCAGAAAUGUCUAGGAAAGUGUGGUAACUUCUGGGUUGUUGGGUUGUUGCCAUGGAAAGGGGUGAUAACUUCUGGAUGUUGCCAUGGCACACUGAUGGGUGUGCCUUAUGGAAAGCUGGUCCUCAAUUUGGUCCAGUGUCCCAGCCCCACACUGGAGUUGAGUCCUGCCUUCUACCUCAACUUUGGUGACAUUUGUCUUUGGUGGCCAUAGCCUUUCUUUCUGCCAUUAUCAAGCACCAUACCCAAGGUCUCAUAUCCAUCCCAACAGGGUUGUAGACAGUCAUUUGAUCCUUUUCCUCAGCAUCCUAUUUUCUCUCCCUCAUACACACACACACACACACACACACACACACACUCUCUCUCUCUCUCUCUCUCUCUCUCUCUCUCUCUCUGUUGUUGCUAGUAUAAGGUACAACCAGACUUUUUUUAUCAUUUAUUUUUUAAAAUAAGAUGUGAAAUACAUUCAAUGGUGCAUAUAAAGUGUACAAAUAUUAAAUGUUCAACUGGAUGAAUUAUUUCAUAUGUAUAUACCCAUGUAACCACCACAGAUUCAGAAUGUUUCUACCUUCCUAGAAAGCUCCCUGGAAGUACAGGCUUUUUAUUUUAAAGUCAGGUGUAUUGGGAUAUCAGUUUCAUAUAGUUAUAUUCAGAGUUCUUAGUGUACAGUUUUAUGAGUUUUAACAAAUACAUACAUUUGUGUAGCUACCAAUAUAGUCAAAAUAUAGAACAGUAUCAUCACCCCAGAAAUGUCCCUGCACCCCUUUGUAGUAAAUCUCUCCUAGCCCCUGCCAACCACUAAUCUGCUUUCUGUUCCUACAGUUUGUCUUUUAUAGGAUGUCAUAUAAAUGGAAUCAUAUAUUUUGUGUCUGACUUCUUUCACUUAGUAUAAUACAUUUGAGAUUCAUCCAUGUUUCAAUAGUUCCUUUUAUUACUGAGUAGUAUUUAAUUUACCGCGGUCUGUAUGUCCAUUCACAAGUUAAAGGACAUUUGGGUGUUUCCAACUUUUGACAAUUAUG